rnacentral:rRNA from 1 species
GAUUGAUGAUGGAUCACCAGUGAGUGGCGAACGGGUGAGUAACACGUAGGUAACCUGCCCCGGAGCGGGGGAUAACAUUUGGAAACAGAUGCUAAUACCGCAUAACAACAAAAGCCACAUGGCUUUUGUUUGAAAGAUGGCUUUGGCUAUCACUCUGGGAUGGACCUGCGGUGCAUUAGCUAGUUGGUAAGGUAACGGCUUACCAAGGCGAUGAUGCAUAGCCGAGUUGAGAGACUGAUCGGCCACAAUGGAACUGAGACACGGUCCAUACUCCUACGGGAGGCAGCAGUAGGGAAUCUUCCACAAUGGGCGCAAGCCUGAUGGAGCAACACCGCGUGAGUGAAGAAGGGUUUCGGCUCGUAAAGCUCUGUUGUUGGAGAAGAACGUGCGUGAGAGUAACUGUUCACGCAGUGACGGUAUCCAACCAGAAAGUCACGGCUAACUACGUGCCAGCAGCCGCGGUAAUACGUAGGUGGCAAGCGUUAUCCGGAUUUAUUGGGCGUAAAGCGAGCGCAGGCGGUUGCUUAGGUCUGAUGUGAAAGCCUUCGGCUUAACCGAAGAAGUGCAUCGGAAACCGGGCGACUUGAGUGCAGAAGAGGACAGUGGAACUCCAUGUGUAGCGGUGGAAUGCGUAGAUAUAUGGAAGAACACCAGUGGCGAAGGCGGCUGUCUGGUCUGCAACUGACGCUGAGGCUCGAAAGCAUGGGUAGCGAACAGGAUUAGAUACCCUGGUAGUCCAUGCCGUAAACGAUGAGUGCUAGGUGUUGGAGGGUUUCCGCCCUUCAGUGCCGGAGCUAACGCAUUAAGCACUCCGCCUGGGGAGUACGACCGCAAGGUUGAAACUCAAAGGAAUUGACGGGGGCCCGCACAAGCGGUGGAGCAUGUGGUUUAAUUCGAAGCUACGCGAAGAACCUUACCAGGUCUUGACAUCUUGCGCUAACCUUAGAGAUAAGGCGUUCCCUUCGGGGACGCAAU